rnacentral:tRNA from 1 species
GCGCUUGUGGCGGAAUUGGCAGACGCGCUAGACUUAGGAUCUAGUUCUUUACAGAGUGGGAGUUCGACUCUCUUCAGGCGCACCA